GGGCGUGUGGCUCAGUUGGUAGAGCGUUCGCUUAGCAUAUUCUAGUAUGCGAAAGGUCCUGAGUUCGAUUCUUAGCUCGUCCA